rnacentral:lncRNA from 1 species
CAUCGAAAUUCAAUCCUAGGCAGGCCUUGCCUUGACAAAGCAGAACAGAUCACAUGUCCACAUGCCCUUGACAAAAAAACACUUUUCAAUUCAUUCGGAAAUAGUACAAAAUAGUACACACAACAAAAAUAACCCAAAAUUUUCCCAGGAUGCCGAACGUUGUAGACGAGAAUGGCCGACCACUGGCAACAAUUUUGGCAAUUGCUGACGAGUUGGGUAAUUACUUCGAUAAAGAUAUUCCCCCAUCUCCCUAUAGAUUUGUAGAUCCCACUUUUCAGAGCGAACUCAUCUGGCACGCUCGCCACAAGUGCUGAAGAGUCUAGAGUACAUUCGAGAUUCGGAGGACGAGAUGGGCCAGACCGAACGCCGGCGCUUGAGCCGUAGAUACGAUUCGGGUGUAUAAAGGAGCUCCAGCCACUGGGGCCACAUACGUCACAACAAAGCUCACCCGCCCAUAACCAGAGACACCUGCCAAGGUGUUUGGCUGACAAUUAAUGGUACAACUUUUCACAUUCCCAUCCAAGAUCCUCGAGCAAAGCAAACAAAGCAAUCGACCAGAGCCUCACGCGAAGAGAGCUGAAGGGUUCGGGCUCGAAGAACGCAAACAAAUUGUGACAAAGUUGCGGAAAUUUAAUUAAAAUCAAAUAGUCGUACAACUAAACUAAACCCAUGCGAACCCAAGCAAAAGGGGUAGAAAAUUCUCAGUCAGCUGUGACCCGGUAGUUUCCAGCACGUAAUUCGAGCAGCUCCGAAGCACGCUGGCGGUCUGUAGCUGGGUUUCCGCGUCGUUUAAUAAACAAAAUGCAAACAAAGUUUAACAGCAAUGACACACAUGGAUUUCUCCGUCCCUGCCCCCCUCGCUCACUGCCAGUUGUUGUUAUUGGCCUUUUUAUUAAUAUAAUUUAUGAGCCUGUGGUUGCGGGGCGGGUGUCAGCAAGGUGGAAAUGCAAAUAGAGCCGAGCCGAGCCGAGCCCGAACUAACUCGGCAGCUGCUUCAAUUCACAGCGCAUACAUUUGAUUAACUUAAUUUAAUAGUAUUUCUUUUUUCACUGUUUUUGUUCACUUCCAGCUCAUUUUGAUAUAUUUGUUUGUUUCCCUAAUUUAUUAUUAUAGUAGUUAGGGCCGUGCCCGAGCUUGGUUAACAGCCUGAAAUGCGAUUAUAUAGCCAUCGAUCAUGUUGAACGGAGCUUGAGAGAAUGCCUGUUGGCGAAUUAAAGUGUAAAUUGAAUUGAUUCGACCAUUUAAAUAACCAAAUCUUAUCUACAGACCAUGUUCAAAUUACAAUAAAGAAAGAUCAGAU